ensembl:lncRNA
GUUGUUAGGUUCCCUUCUCAUUGGUUCAGAAGGGAAACAAACCAGCUGUGUGCGUGUCUUUAAAUGAGCGUUGUUAGGUUCCCUUCUCAUUGGUUUGAUCGAUGUCUUCAUUUUAUACUGGAAUUCCUCUACAUAAUGGAUAGCUUGUUUACAUACCUCUCUCAUUCUGUAGUAGGAGUGCUGGUCUAGGAUCAGUUUAUCCCUCUCUCUCUCUCUCUCUGUAGUAGGAGUGCUGGUCUAGGGUCAGUUUAUCCCUCUCUCACUCUCCAGGGCCUGUAGUAGGUGUGCUGAUCUAGGAUCAGUUUAUCCCUCGCUCACUCUGUAGUAGGAGUGCUGAUCUAGGAUCAGUUAAUCCCUCUCUCACUCUUCAGGGCCUGAAGCAGGAGUGCUGAUCUAGGAUCAGUUUAUCCCUCUCUCACUCUCCAGGGCCUGUAGUAGGACUGCUGAUCUAGGAUCAGUUUAUCCCUCUCUCUCACUCUCCAGGGCCUGUAGUAGGAGUGCUGAUCUAGGAUCAGUUUAUCCCUCUCUCACUCUCCAGGGCCUGUAGUAGGACUGCUGAUCUAGGAUCAGUUUAUCCCUCUCUCUCACUCUCCAGGGCCUGUAGUAGGAGUGCUGAUCUAGGAUCAGUUUAUCCCUCUCUCACUCUCCAGGGCCUGUAUAUACUAGUUCAGUGUUGUUCAUCUGGGUUGUGAUCAUUAUAAUACACUAGACCCAGCUAGCUGUGUGUUGUUAAUCUGGGUUGUGAUCAUUAUAAUAUACUAGACCCAGCUAGCUGUGUGUUGUUAAUCUGGGUUGUGAUCAUUAUAAUACACUAGACCACAGUCCUUACAUCCUGUGUUUGUUGUUAUUGAGCCUGACUGCGUUUCAGAAGGGAAACACACCCUAGUCUAUUCUGCGCUGCGUGUGUGUGUGUGUGUGUUCACACGUGCAGGCGUGUGUGUUUGCGCGUGGCUCAGAAGCAAAACAAACCUUGUGCGUCAGUAUUUCUUCUAAUGUUGCUGAACUCAAAAACUGGGUCAUUCUGACCAGACUCACAGGAAAAACCAGGACCACUGAUUUCACACACACACACACACACACACACACACACACACACACACACACACACACAGUGAUGAUUGCUCAAUUUACCACAUUGUGUAACUUGAGUCAUAUAAGAUACUCAAGACAUUUCACUUUACAUCAUUAUAUGUCCUUAUAGGCAGGGUUGUGGCUGUGUUCCUUGUUGUACUCUACUCUACUGUUGUGGCUGUGUUCCUUGUUGUACUCUACUGUUGUGGCUGUA